UAGGGAAUCUUCCGCAAUGGACGAAAGUCUGACGGAGCAACGCCGCGUGAGUGAAGAAGGAUUUCGGUUCGUAAAACUCUGUUGUUAGGGAAGAAAAAAUGUAUAGUAACUAUAUACAAAAGAGACGGUACCUAACCAGAAAGCCACGGCUAACUACGUGCCAGCAGCCGCGGUAAUACGUAGGUGGCAAGCGUUGUCCGGAAUUAUUGGGCGUAAAGCGCGCGCAGGUGGUUUAGAAAGUCUGAUGUGAAAGCCCCCGGCUCAACCGUUGAGGGUCAUUGGAAACUAAUAAACUUGAGUGCAGGAGAGAAAAGUGGAAUUCCUAGUGUAGCGGUGAAAUGCGUAGAGAUUAGGAGGAACACCGGUGGCGAAAGCGGCUUUUUGGCCUGCAACUGACACUGUGGCGCGAAAGCGUGGGGAGCAAACAGG
rnacentral:rRNA from 1 species